UUCGAAAACGUCCGUCUCAUCAAUCUAAGACAUCUUCUAACUAUGGUCGAGCAACUUAUUCGACUCAUAGUUCACUCACGAUCACUUCUUCGCCCACCUCGUACUUCAAAACUUCUCGAUCGAUCCAUAUCGCCCGCGACUCGACCACCACAAAGAUACUCAUUUCUUUUUUUUUUUUUAACGGGUUUCUACACUUAGUGUCACCCCUCGAUCCAUCAGUUCUCAAUCCUCUCGGAUCUGAGUUCAUAUCAACCUUACCGAAAAACUGAUCCUUAUUUUGGUUCUAUCACAGACGGACACACACGGACAGCCAUGGACGUCCUGUGUGUGCUGGCGGACACCCAAGGACGUCCUGUGUGUACUGAACAGACAGCCCAUGUGGGCCAAAAUCACCCAAACAGUACACGGGAAGGGUCAGUGUGCUGAGUCCAAGGACCAACGUGCUGAUAUGUGUACUGAUGGACAGCCACGGACAUCUUGUGUGUGCUGAUGGACACACUCGGACAGCCACGGACGUCCUGUGUGUGCUGACGGACACACACAGACGUCCUG
rnacentral:lncRNA from 1 species